rnacentral:rRNA from 1 species
GGAAUGCCUUACGGUUGAAAGCUUUAGCGUCUGAGGAUGGGUCUGCGGCCGAUUAGGUAGUUGCUGGGGUAACGUCCCAACAAGCCGAUAAUCGGUACGGGUUGUGAGAGCAAGAGCCCGGAGAUGGAUUCUGAGACACGAAUCCAGGUCCUACGGGGCGCAGCAGGCGCGAAAACUUUACACUGCGCGAAAGCGCGAUAAGGGGACCUCGAGUGCGUGCGCAAUGCGUACGCUUUUCAGAUGCCUAAAAAGCAUCUGGAAUAAGGGCCGGGCAAGACCGGUGCCAGCCGCCGCGGUAACACCGGCGGCUCAAGUGGUGGCCGCUAUUAUUGGGCUUAAAGGGUCCGUAGCCGGACCAGUUAGUCCCUUGGGAAAUCUUACGGCUUAACCGUAAGGCUGCCAAUGGAUACUGCUGGUCUUGGGACCGGGAGAGGCAAGAGGUACCUCAGGGGUAGGAGUGAAAUCCUGUAAUCCUUGAGGGACCGCCAGUGGCGAAGGCGUCUUGCUAGAACGGGUCCGACGGUGAGGGACGAAAGCUAGGGGCACGAACCGGAUUAGAUACCCGGGUAGUCCUAGCCGUAAACGAUGCGAGCUAGGUGUCACGUGGAUUGCGAAUCCAUGUGGUGCCGAAGGGAAACCGUGAAGCUCGCCGCCUGGGAAGUACGGCCGCAAGGCUGAAACUUAAAGGAAUUGGCGGGGGAGCAC